rnacentral:antisense_RNA from 1 species
CCCACUGCGCUUCCUCCAGGAAGCCUUCCCUGACCACACCUCCCUGCCUUCUUGUGGACUUUGCUCUUCAGCUCCCUCGUCUGCCAGACUCUCCCCAGAAGCAUCGUGGGUGCAGCAGAAAUGACGUCUCAGGAGCAGUGAGCGCGCCUGGGGCGCAGGUCGCCGUUUCUAAGCGCCAUGCUCCACAAACUAACCAGGGCUCCCGGAGGCGGUGGAAAGGCUGCAGAGGGCCCCUAGGCGGCUAGAAAGGGGCUCAGAGAACGGUGGAGCCCCCAAGAAGGCCCAGGGUGCUGGGGGUGACUGCCUAGUGGGCCCCGGUUUUCCUUCAGGGGUGGUGGAGAUAUUUGAAGCUGGAUAGAAUUGUGGGGGGGUCACACAGCACUGUCCAAGGUGCUCAGGGCCUCUGAAUUGGACGCUUGAUAAUGUAACGUUAUCUUCUGUAAACUUCACCUCAGUAAGUUAAAAAGAAAUUAAGAGGAAGUCAGCUGGAGACCCACUGGCCA